CACCGCCCGUCACACCAUGGGAGUUGAUUGCACCAGAAGCAGGUAGCCUGACCGCAAGGGGGCGCCUACCACGGUGUGGUCAAUGACUAGGGUG
rnacentral:rRNA from 1 species